GACGAACGCUGGCGGCGUGCUUAACACAUGCAAGUCGAACGGAAAGGCCCUGCGUUUGUGGGGUUCUCGAGUGGCGAACGGGUGCGUAACACGUGAGUAACCUGCCCUUGACUUUGGGAUAACUUCAGGAAACUGGGGCUAAUACCGGAUAGGAGCUCCUGCUGCAUGGUGGGGGUUGGAAAUUUUCGGCGGUUGGGGCAGGACUCGCGGCUUAUCAGCUUGUUGGUGGGGUAGUGGCUUACCAAGGCUUUGACGGGUACCCGGCCUGAGAGGGUGACCGGCCACAUGGGGACUGAGAGAGGGCCCAGAGUCCUACGGGAGGCAGCAGUGGGGAAUAUGGCACAAUGGGCGGAAGCCUGAUGAAGAAACGCCGCGUGCGGGAUGACGGCCUUCGGGGUGUAAACCGCUUUCGCCUGUGACGAAGCGUGAGUGACGGUAAUGGAUAAAGAAGCACCGGCUAACUACGUG
rnacentral:rRNA from 1 species